rnacentral:lncRNA from 1 species
AAAUAAAGUAGUAAUAAUAAUAAUAUUGCCUUGGUGUUUUCACGUUUCUGAGCAUAUAAUUUGUUUUGUGUAUAUAUGUAUUCAUCAUAAAAACAUAUGAUAAGAAAUAAAAAAAAAAAAAAAAGGACACACAAUCUGCACACACCUAUAACCUGUUGACUCUCCUACCCAUGGCUGAAUUCAACCUCAUCAAGUGGCCGAUUUAAAUUUGGAAGCUUCUAGGUUGAGACAAUUCAUGAUUUGGGUUUUGUGUGCUGUAUAAUAUGCUUGGUUGCUAAUUAUUCCAUGUUUACAUAUUCUUCUUCCUGUGAUAUUGUGAACUGAUGUUGAUAAAAAAAAAAAAAAAAAGGUUUUGCAUAGUAGAUCGGCGGUAGCAUGUUGCUGCCGCAUGAGUUACACCGC